UUUGCAUGGGGAGGUGAGUAAAACGCGCAUUAACUUCGCCCUAACCAAGCUGCUGUGUUCUAUUCUUCGGAAUGGUGUUGCGGCGUUUUGGUUAGGUUGAGGGAGAUGUGGCGGCUUUUGGAGGGGCUUGCGGCCUAUCAGAUAGUUGGUGGGGUAACGGCCUACCAAGUCAUCGACGGGUAGCUGGUCUGAGAGGAUGGUCAGCCGGACUGGGACUGAGAUACGGCCCAG
rnacentral:rRNA from 1 species